AUUCCAGCUCCAAUAGCGUAUAUUAAAGUUGUUGCAGUUAAAACGCUCGUAGUCGGAUUUCGGGGCGGGCCGACCGGUCUGCCGAUGGGUAUGCACUGGCCGGCGCGUCCUUCCACCCGGAGACCGCGCCUACUCUUAACUGAGCGGGCGCGGGAGACGGGUCUUUUACUUUGAAAAAAUCAGAGUGUUUCAAGCAGGCAGUCGCUCUUGCAUGGAUUAGCAUGGGAUAAUGAAAUAGGACAUUGGUUCUCUAUUUCUGAUGGUUUGAAGGACCGAUGUAAUGAUUAAUAGGGACAGUUGGGGACAUUUAUAUUCCAUGGCUAGAGGUGAAAUUCUUGGAUUCAUGGAAGAUAAACUACUGCGAAAGCAUUUGUCAAAGAUGUUUUCAUCA
rnacentral:rRNA from 1 species